rnacentral:rRNA from 1 species
GAUGAACGCUGGCGGCGUGCCUAAUACAUGCAAGUCGAGCGAACAGACGAGGAGCUUGCUCCUCUGACGUUAGCGGCGGACGGGUGAGUAACACGUGGAUCACCUACCUAUCAGACUGGGAUAACUUCGGGAAACCGGAGCUAAUACCGGAUAAUAUAUUGAACCGCAUGGUUCAAUAGUGAAAGACGGUUUUGCUGUCACUUAUAGAUGGAUCCGCGCCGCAGGAGCUAGUUGGUAAGGUAACGGGUUACCACGGCGACGAUGCGUAGCCGACCUGAGAGGGGGAUCGGCCGCACGGGAGCUGAGACACGGUCAAGACGCCUACGGGAGGCAGCAGUAGGGAAUCUGCCGCAAUGGGGGAAAGCCUGACGGAGCAACGCCGCGUGAGUGAUGAAGGUCUUCGGAUCGUAAAACUCGGUUAUUAGGGAAGAACAAAUGUGUAAGUAACUAUGCACGUCUUGACGGUACCUAAUCAGAAAGCAACGGCUAACUACGUG